rnacentral:lncRNA from 1 species
GCAGAGAGGGCCAACGGGUCUGUGAUGGGUGGACGGCGUUGUGGCCGCGGCGGCACCCCAGUGGUCCCUCCGCGUGGGACCCCUCACGCUGCCGUGGAGGGCAGGUCCUGUCCCCUGCCCCUCUCUGGCGUCACCCCACACCCGUGGUGGCUCCCCCUCCCUCACCCAAGUGAGGGCUGCUGGUAUCUGGGGAGGAGAUAGGAGACCUCGAGGGUCAAUGUUUUUAACUAUGGUUCCUCAUGCUCCCUGAGGAGAGAGGAAGGGGCAGGUCCCUGUCCCUGCGUCUGCCUGUCUUGUGUGGCAGCUCAGGGUCACUGUGAGGCCUCCCUCCCUGCCCCUCUG